GCCCAGUACKAAUAUUGGAAGUUGAGUUUAAAGCAUCACACCAUGACUAAAACUAACUGAUUUUGAAAAGACAUAAACUAAAACUCUCACAUCAACAGAAACAGGAAGUUCUGAUGUUACUCUCAUUUCUUCUGAUCCACAGCGUAUAUCUUGGAGAAACUCCACAACUGUUGCUUCUUUGAUGAGGAGGUUCAGCCCUCCAUGUUCUUCCUAACGCUGCACGACGCCAUGCUGCACAUUUUGGAGAAACAUCCAGAGACGACAGAAAGGAAAGCAGACCGGGAUAAGAUACUGACAACAGUGACGGUCCACCAUCCGAGUGGAAAUCUGAGGAGCAGAGAUAAAAAUGGUCCAGUUCCAGCUGCAGAGACCAAGUUCUAACCGGGACAGAAGAGGAAAUCAAAAAACRAAACGG